UCUGAAAUAGUUCAGUUGGUAGAGCGUCAGACUAAAAAUCGAGAGGUCGCUAGUUCAAUCCCGGGUUCCGGCA
rnacentral:tRNA from 1 species